CCAGUAACGGCGAGUGAAGCGGCAACAGCUCAAAUUUGAAAUCUGGCCCCCAGGGCCCGAGUUGUAAUUUGCAGAGGAUGCUUUUGGCGAGGUGCCUUCCGAGUUCCCUGGAACGGGACGCCAUAGAGGGUGAGAGCCCCGUCUGGUUGGACGCCGAGCCUCUGUAAAGCUCCUUCGACGAGUCGAGUAGUUUGGGAAUGCUGCUCUAAAUGGGAGGUAUAUGUCUUCUAAAGCUAAAUACCGGCCAGAGACCGAUAGCGCACAAGUAGAGUGAUCGAAAGAUGAAAAGCACUUUGAAAAGAGGGUUAAACAGUACGUGAAAUUGUUGAAAGGGAAGCGCUUGUGACCAGACUUGGGCUCGGUGAAUCAUCCAGCGUUCUCGCUGGUGCACUUUGCCGGGCUCAGGCCAGCAUCAGUUUGCCCUGGGGGACAAAGGCUCUGGGAAUGUGGCUCCCUCGGGAGUGUUAUAGCCCACUGCGCAAUACCCUGGGGCGGACUGAGGUUCGCGCAUCUGCAAGGAUGCUGGCGUAAUGGUCAUCAGCGACCCGUCUUGAAACACGGACCAAGGAGUCGUCUUCGUAUGCGAGUGUUCGGGUGUAAAACCCCUACGCGUAAUGAAAGUGAACGCAGGUGAGAGCUUCGGCGCAUCAUCGACCGAUCCUGAUGUUCUCGGAUGGAUUUGAGUAGGAGCAUACGGGGCCGGACCCGAAAGAAGGUGAACUAUGCCUGUAUAGGGUGAAGCUAGAGGAAACUCUGGUGGAGGCUCGCAGCGGUUCUGACGUGCAAAUCGAUCGUCAAAUAUGGGCAUGGGGGCGAAAGACUAAUCGAACC
rnacentral:rRNA from 1 species